GUUUUCUGUUUGCUCUUGUCCAGGCUCUUCCUGAAUGAUAUCUGGAUUUGACACUGAGGACAUUGUGGUUGACGUUGGAUGUUGGUUUAAGGGUAGCAUGAACCGUAAAGGUUACUUGUAAGCUAACAAGUCUGCAGAUGUUGAAAGUCCAGGCACCUACAAUCCAGCAACCUUGGCCAAGCAAUACAAGACACUACAACAGGGGUACUCAAAUAUAAAUCUUAAAUGACCACAAAGAUUUAUUUCAAUGACUCAAAGGUCAUCCGUCCUCCAUUCCCUAACUUCUGCAUCAGCCCCCUCGGUAUCGCAACCAGGAAAUAUUAUAUCAAAGAAGCGCAUCAUCAACAAUCUUUAAGCACCCCAUGGCAGUACCAUCCCCAGCAUCAAUAGCUUGAUCCCGAGUGAGGACUUCCCUAUUCACUACACCACCAUCAACCAUGCCAUCGCCUUUAUCAAACUCGCCGGGAAAGGGUCACGGCUCUCAAAACAGACAUCACCAGUGCUUUCAAGUCCUCCCUAUUCACCCCGACUUCUGGUGUUUCUUCAGCAUCUGCAGGCGUGGUGCAUAUUACUCCGCCGUUAGGCUCACCUUCAGUUGAAAAGCAGCCUAAACUCUUCAGCAACCUACCAGAAGUACUCGGCUGAGUCCUGUCUAACAACCUUGGAACCUUGGACGAUUUCUCUUUGUCCCCCCAUCGCCACCCACUUCCAGCCCAGUUACCCUGACUUCAGUCUUAUCUGACCUUGGGGUCCCAUUGUCGCAGAGAAAACAAAGGGCCCCUCCACAUCCCUCGAGUUUCUUGGAAUUACUCUCAACAUAAACAAGUUUCAGGCAUCAUUCCCAGUUGGAAAGCUCAACCAAAUCUUCUUCUGCGCCCCGUGCUGCACCAAACAUCAACUCUGUCCCUUCUUUGCCACCUCAACUUUGCCUUAUGCAUCAUCCCCCAAGGGCGAGCCUUUAACCUACUAUCCAUCGCUUCUUCCGUCCCAUCACUCUUGACCUAGCUCGAGCCUUGCCAAAAUCCGUCCGUGACUCUACCUUCUCACCAAUUGGAGCGGAAUCACAUUCUUUUACGACGACAAACCGACUCACCAGCACAACAUACAUCCGUACAUCGAUGCUGCUCCUUAAGCUGGUUUUGGGGAUUCAUACAAUGGAAGAUGGUCUGCAGCAGAAUUGCCCCCAGAGCUCACUAACGAAGCCAGAAGUUCAGAAGUUUGGCAACUCACGCAGAUACGUGCCAGUCAGACACUGACAUUCAACUCGUAAAUCCUGCGCAAUACCCCUGAUAAGUGACUCCCAGAGCUCCAUCAUCAACAGCCUCUCACCCUCGUCCCUCUCUUCCUACUGGACAGCUUGGGAAAAGCUUUCAUGACUUUCAAGACUAUACAACAUAACUUUUGCGUCGUUUGAUCUCAUCACCUCAACUUCUUCAGUACUCAUGCCCAUUCCAACAUGGCAAAAAACAGACAUCAUCAAGCUUACCUUAGUGGUAUAAGCUUCUUCCCCAAGUUAAUAACUGGCAGUUUGGGCCUGGCCCCCAGCCAUCCCCAGAUAACUUCCCUCUUCAAAGGAUUCCUAUGCCAAGAGCCAGCAAAAAACCCUCGUCAUCUUCCUCUCACCGUCGACUUGCUGUCCAUCUGCCUCCACACAAUCCGUUCCGGGUACGGCACUCCUCAAGUCGCCCAAACCCUUGAAGCCAUGUUCUUGCUAGUGUUCCACUUAAAGCGAACCAAAACCAAUCAAUUUGGUCCGCCUGCACCCGUCUUCUUCUUCAAGUUCCAAUCACUACUGAAUCCUUUCAAAACCCUUGCAAACUUCUUGCAAUUCCGUAAAUCUCAGACCACAACAAUGACAGAUCCUCUCUUCAUCUCCGAAUUCGGCCAAGUGGCUACUCGAUUCUGGUUCCACCAUCACUUUCGCCAUGUGCUCUCAUUGUCUGGUAUUUUGCCCGACAACUACUCCGGGCACUCCUUCAGAAUCGUAGCUGCCACUUCAGCCUCCCCUAAUGGCAUCCCAGAACACCUCAUACAUCUCAUGGGCCCCUGGUCCUCCUAAACGUACCACCGCUACAUCCGUUCAGAUCUCAAAGAUCUCAGAUCCGCUCAAUCUCUUGUCAAGUAAUUGAAAGUUUUGGGGGGUCCAUCGCUGCCUGGGAGCAGCGGCAGAUUCUCUACAAGAAUCCCCACAAGGCACUUGAAGAACUCAAAAGAACCAAGAUCUUCGACACUUCGUUUUCCUUUGUCACUAAUAAAUCCUUAAACGCACCUCGUUGACAGUGUGGUCCUUGCUAGUGAACUGAAGCUUAAUUGGUGAAGUUUCAGGAGCAGGACCACACCUCAACAGCGCCAACUUCCGCAUUUCUAUAAAUAACCACCUGACCCUCUCCUCUGCUUUGCUCUUGUAUUCUGCGCCCCUCCGCCCCACCCCAUUUCUCUCUCCCUGUUUCUUCUUUUCUCUCCUCUCCUUUGUAGGUCCAUGAGGGGAUCCGUCACUGCCCGGGAGCGGCGGUGCAUUCUCUACAAGAAUUCCCACAACGCACUUGAAGAACUCAAAAGAACCUACGUCGUCUACACUUCAUUUUCCUUUGUCACUAAUAAAUCCUUA